UCCUGAUUCAGGUCUGUCUUCAGCUGCUGUAGCAGGGAUAUGUGUUGGUGCUGUUCUGCUGAUAGUGGGUGCAGCUGCUGGUGUGAUUUACUAUCGCAAGCUUCUCAAGCAGGGCAAAGAUCAGGAACCAGGACUCAGUGCAGUGAUCAGUGAUACAUACACCGCUGUUAAUCUUGAUGACAAUGGAUCGGAGCCUGCAGCUACUGAGCC